rnacentral:rRNA from 1 species
CAAACUGGAGAUGGCGACCGGCGCACGGGUGAGUAACACGUAUCCAACCUGCCGAUAACUCGGGGAUGCCUUUCGAAAGAAAGAUUAAUACCCGAUGGCAUAAUAGAACCGCAUGGUUUGAUUAUUAAAGAAUUUCGGUUAUCGAUGGGGAUGCGUUCCAUUAGGCAGUUGGUGGGGUAACGGCCCACCAAACCUUCGAUGGAUAGGGGUUCUGAGAGGAAGGUCCCCCACAUUGGAACUGAGACACGGUCCAAACUCCUACGGGAGGCAGCAUG